AAACCAACAGGGAUUGCCCUAGUAACGGCGAGUGAAGCGGCAACAGCUCAAAUUUGAAAGCUAGCCUUCGGGUUCGCAUUGUAAUUUGUAGAGGAUGAUUUGGGGAAGCCGCCUGUCUAAGUUCCUUGGAACAGGACGUCAUAGAGGGUGAGAAUCCCGUAUGUGACAGGAAAUGGCACCCUAUGUAAAUCUCCUUCGACGAGUCGAGUUGUUUGGGAAUGCAGCUCUAAAUGGGAGGUAAAUUUCUUCUAAAGCUAAAUAUUGGCGAGAGACCGAUAGCGCACAAGUAGAGUGAUCGAAAGAUGAAAAGCACUUUGGAAAGAGAGUUAAAAAGCACGUGAAAUUGUUGAAAGGGAAGCGCUUGCAAUCAGACUUGUUUAAACUGUUCGGCCGGUCUUCUGACCGGUUUACUCAGUUUGGACAGGCCAGCAUCAGUUUCGGCGGCCGGAUAAAGGCUCUGGGAAUGUGGCCUCCACUUCGGUGGAGGUGUUAUAGCCCAGGGUGU
rnacentral:rRNA from 1 species